rnacentral:rRNA from 1 species
CCUACGGGUGGCAGCAGUGGGGAAUAUUGGACAAUGGGCGAAAGCCUGAUCCAGCCAUGCCGCGUGUGUGAAGAAGGCCUUCGGGUUGUAAAGCACUUUCAGUGGGGAAGAAAGCCUUGGGGCUAAUACCCUCGAGGAAGGACAUCACCCACAGAAGAAGCACCGGCUAACUCCGUGCCAGCAGCCGCGUUAAUACGGAGGGUGCGAGCGUUAAUCGGAAUUACUGGGCGUAAAGCGCGCGUAGGCGGUCUGAUAAGCCGGUUGUGAAAGCCCCGGGCUCAACCUGGGAACGGCAUCCGGAACUGUCAGGCUAGAGUGCAGGAGAGGAAGGUAGAAUUCCCGGUGUAGCGGUGAAAUGCGUAGAGAUCGGGAGGAAUACCAGUGGCGAAGGCGGCCUUCUGGACUGACACUGACGCUGAGGUGCGAAAGCGUGGGUAGCAAACAGGAUUAGAUACCCCGGUAGUC